GAUGAACGCUGGCGGCGUGCCUAAUACAUGCAAGUCGAGCGAACGGACGAGAAGCUUGCUUCUCUGAUGUUAGCGGCGGACGGGUGAGUAACACGUGGAUAACCUACCUAUAAGACUGGGAUAACUUCGGGAAACCGGAGCUAAUACCGGAUGAUAUUUUGAACCGCAUGGUUCAAAAGUGAAAGACGGUCUUGCUGUCACUUAUAGAUGGAUCCGCGCUGCAUUAGCUAGUUGGUAAGGUAACGGCUUACCAAGGCAACGAUGCAUAGCCGACCUGAGAGGGUGAUCGGCCACACUGGAACUGAGACACCGUCCAGACUCCUACGGGAGGCAGCAGUAGGGAAUCUUCCGCAAUGGGCGAAAGCCUGACGGAGCAACGCCGCGUGAGUGAUGAAGGUCUUCGGAUCGUAAAACUCUGUUAUUAGGGAAGAACAUAUGUGUAAGUAACUGUGCACAUCUUGACGGUACCUAAUCAGAAAGCCACGGCUAACUACGUG
rnacentral:rRNA from 1 species